GACGAACCGUGCGAACGUUAUUCGGAAUCACUGGGCUUAAAGCGCGUGUAGGCGGGAGGGCACGUCCGUCGCUGAAAUCCCCCGGCUCAACCGGGGAACGGGCGCGGAUACGACCUUCCUGGAGGGGCGUAGGGGGACCUGGAACUUCCGGUGGAGCGGUGAAAUGCGUUGAGAUCGGAAGGAACGCCCGUGGCGAAAGCGAGGUCCUGGACGCCUACUGACGCUGAGACGCGAAAGCCAGGGGA
rnacentral:rRNA from 1 species